rnacentral:rRNA from 1 species
UACGGAGGGUGCAAGCGUUAUCCGGAUUCACUGGGUUUAAAGGGUGCGUAGGUGGAUUGGUAAGUCCGUGGUGAAAUCCCUGAGCUUAACUCAGGAACUGCCGUGGAUACUAUCAAUCUUGAAUACUGUGGAGGUAAGCGGAAUAUGUCAUGUAGCGGUGAAAUGCUUAGAUAUGACAUAGAACACCAAUUGCGAAGGCAGCUUGCUACACGGUUAUUGACACUGAGGCACGAAAGCGUGGGGAUCAAACAGG